CAAACCGUUAUGAAAACCAAAAAAUCGUUCUUUUCUCCUUAUCCUAUCUACGAGAGCCUCGUUUGACCUCUGUCCUCCCAAUUCGUUACCCUAACCUUCGAAUUUGCCCUCUCAGAAACCCUAACCCAAGAAUCCAUCUCCGCCUCCUCCAUCGGCCGCCAAGAUGCCGGCGACGGCGGGAAGGGUGCGGAUGCCGGCGAACAACCGGGUCCACAGCAGCGCUGCUCUCCAGACCCACGGGAUCUGGCAGAGCGCCAUCGGCUACGACCCCUACGCUCCCACCAACAAGGACAAGGACGAGUCCAAGGGCGGCGCCGACCACUCCGGCAAGGCCGACGACGACGGCGACGACGGCGCUGAGAACGCCUACGCCAGCUUCCAGGGCCUCCUCGCCCUCGCCCGCAUCACUGGGUCCAACUCCGACGAGACACGCGGCGCCUGCAAGAAGUGCGGCCGUGUAGGCCACCUCACAUUCCAGUGUCGCAACUUCCUCAGCGUCAAGGAUGACAAGGACAAGGACGCCGAAGCCCUCCAGACCGCCACAGCCGUCUUCGAGAAGAUCAAGAAGGCCGCCGGGAAGAAGGGUGAGGGGGAGGAGAGCGAGGAGGAGGACGACGAAGAAGAGGAGAGUGAGAGCUCGGAUUCUGAUGUGGAUCCGGAGAUUGAAAAGAUCAUUGCCAAGAGAUUCGGAAGGAAGAAAUCUUCUUCCACGAAGAGAUCGCUGGCGGAGCAGGACUCAGGAGAGGAUAAGAAGGGGAGUCGGAGGAGGAGAGGGCGGUCAAAGAAGAGGAGCGGGAAGAGGUCGAUACGGAGUGAAGAGACUGAUAGCGAGGUGGAGGAUGGGAGGAGGGAGAAGAGGAGGCGGCAGCGUAGGGGUUUGGAUGAUGAUGAGGAAGAGGAGGAUGGGGGUCAUAGGCACAGGAAGAGUAGGAAGGAGAAGAAGAGGCGUAGAAGCCAUCAUAAGAGGGAUGAGUCUGAUGAUGAGUCAUCAGAAGAGUCUGAUGGGAAUUGCCGCCUUAAACGAAGGCAUGGAAGGAAGUACGUGUCUGAGAGUCACUUAGAUGGUAGUGAUGGAUCACUGGAUGAUCGGAAGAGGUCCAGCAGGCACCACGAGGGCCGGAGGAAGAGGAGGGCUGCUUCCUCUGAAAGUAGUGAAUCGGAUGAUGAAGACUCUCGUGGAAGAAAGGGGAAGAAGCGGUCUGAGGGCAGGAGCAGGAACCAUAGGCAUAAAGAGAAGAAUUGAACAAGGCAAUGGUAAUUACCUUGUGUCAUUGAUGCAACCUUUCCAUUGCUAGUGAUGCAGACUGUCUACUAUCUUCAAGAUUACAUUGUUGGACGAUACUGUUUACUAUGAUUUCCAGUAUGCUUGGAGGUUACUAAAUGUAUUGUGAUGGUUAACGUAAUCUGCUCAUGCUGAACCUUGCUAUUGUCUACCCUGGUGAUGAAUUAUCAGGGACGUCUGUAAAGUUCCACUCGGGCGAAGAUAUUCCUAGGCUGAUAGUUCCUGUUUAUCUCAUAGGGAUUUGCAGCUCUAGCUUCGAAAAAGAAUUUGUAGCUAUGCUUUGCAUAAGUGGGAACAAAAGAUGUGGACGUACCUGUUGCAUAUAGCCAGGUACCUCUGGCAGCCUGAUCAUAUAUUUGUGAUGAGAUACCCCAGGAAACCUUUUUCAAUUUGUUGCCUGUGUGAUUUAUAUGAUGUAAUUCGACUUUCCUGUUUGACAUCUUUUUAAAAUGUUUUAAUUGACAUUACUGCUGCCGUUUCUCAU